AGUGAACGCUGGCGGUAGGCCUAACACAUGCAAGUCGAACGGCAGCACAGUAAGAGCUUGCUCUUACGGGUGGCGAGUGGCGGACGGGUGAGGAAUACAUCGGAAUCUACUUUUUCGUGGGGGAUAACGUAGGGAAACUUACGCUAAUACCGCAUACGACCUACGGGUGAAAGCAGGGGAUCUUCGGACCUUGCGCGAUUGAAUGAGCCGAUGUCGGAUUAGCUAGUUGGCGGGGUAAAGGCCCACCAAGGCGACGAUCCGUAGCUGGUCUGAGAGGAUGAUCGGCCAAACUGGAACGGGAACACGGUCCGGAUCCCAACGGGAGGCAGCAGUGGGAAAUAUUGGAAAAGGGGCGAAAGCCUGAUCAAGCCAAACGGGGUGGGGAAAGAAGGCUUUCGGGUGGUACAGCCCUUUUGUUGGGAAAGAAAGGAGGCGGGUUAAUACCCCGCGGUUCUAAGGGAACCAAAAGAUAAGGAACGGGUUAAUUCGUG
rnacentral:rRNA from 1 species